GAUGAACGCUGGCGGCGUGCCUAAUACAUGCAAGUCGAGCGAACGGACGAGAAGCUUGCUUCUCUGAUGUUAGCGGCGGACGGGUGAGUAACACGUGGAUAACCUACCUAUAAGACUGGGAUAACUUCGGGAAACCGGAGCUAAUACCGGAUAAUAUUUUGAACCGCAUGGUUCAAAAGUGAAAGACGGUCUUGCUGUCACUUAUCGAUGGAUCCGCGCUGCAUUAGCUAGUUGGUAAGGUAACGGCUUACCAAGGCAACGAUGCAUAGCCGACCUGAGAGGGUGAUCGGCCACACUGGAACUGAGACACGGUCCAGACUCCUACGGGAGGCAGCAGUAGGGAAUCUGCCGCAAUGGGCGAAAGCCUGACGGAGCAACGCCGCGUGAGUGAUGAAGGUCUUCGGAGCGUAAAACUCUGUUAUUAGGGAAGAACAGAUGUGUAAGUAACUGUGCACAUCUUGACGGUACCUAAUCAGAAAGCCACGGCUAACUACGUG
rnacentral:rRNA from 1 species